rnacentral:rRNA from 1 species
AGCGAACGCUGGCGGCAGGCCUAACACAUGCAAGUCGAACGAACUCUUCGGAGUUAGUGGCGGACGGGUGAGUAACACGUGGGAACGUGCCUUUUGGUUCGGAAUAACUCAGGGAAACUUGUGCUAAUACCGAAUGUGCCCUUCGGGGGAAAGAUUUAUCGCCAUUAGAGCGGCCCGCGUCUGAUUAGCGAGUUGGUGAGGUAACGGCUCACCAAGGCGACGAUCAGUAGCUGGUCUGAGAGGAUGACCAGCCACACUGGGACUGAGACACGGCCCAGACUCCUACGGGAGGCAGCAGUGGGGAAUCUUGCGCAAUGGGCGAAAGCCUGACGCAGCCAUGCCGCGUGAAUGAUGAAGGUCUUAGGAUUGUAAAAUUCUUUCACCGGGGACGAUAAUGACGGUACCCGGAGAAGAAGCCCCGGCUAACUUCGUG